GGGGGUCAAAACUUAAUGGUAGAGCAUAUGCUUUGAAUGCAGAAGGUCUCAGGUUCAAUCCUUGACCUUACCA